UACAGAGGUCUCAAGCGUUGUUCGGAUUCAUUGGGCGUAAAGGGUGCGUAGGUGGUGGGGUAAGUCGGAUGUGAAAUCCCGGGGCCCAACCCCGGAACUGCAUUCGAUACUGCCUUGCUCGAGUACUGGAGAGGAGACUGGAAUUUACGGUGUAGCAGUGAAAUGCGUAGAUAUCGUAAGGAAGACCAGUGGCGAAGGCGAGUCUCUGGACGGUUACUGACACUGAGGCACGAAGGCCAGGGGAGCAAACGGG
rnacentral:rRNA from 1 species